CGACCGGCGCACGGGUGAGUAACGCGUAUCCAACCUGCCUUACACUCUUGGACAGCCUUCUGAAAGGGAGAUUAAUACAAGAUGUUAUCAUGAGUAAGCAUUUUCGCAUGAUUAAAGGUUUACCGGUGUAAGAUGGGGAUGCGUUCCAUUAGAUAGUAGGCGGGGUAACGGCCCACCUAGUCUUCGAUGGAUGGGGGUUCUGAGAGGAAGGUCCCCCACAUUGGAACUGAGACACGGUCCAA
rnacentral:rRNA from 1 species